rnacentral:rRNA from 1 species
CACGUAGGGGGCAAGCGUUGUCCGGAAUUAUUGGGCGUAAAGCGCGUGUAGGCGGCUUGGCAAGUCCGCUGUGAAAACUCGAGGCUCAACCUCGAGAUGUCGGUGGAAACUGCUUGGCUAGAGUCCGGAAGAGGAGUGUGGAAUUCCUGGUGUAGCGGUGAAAUGCGCAGAUAUCAGGAAGAACACCUAUGGCGAAGGCAGCACUCUGGGACGGUACUGACGCUGAGAAGCGAAAGCGUGGGGAGCGAACAGG